rnacentral:rRNA from 1 species
UAGGGAAUCUUCCGCAAUGGGCGAAAGCCUGACGGAGCAACGCCGCGUGAGUGAUGAAGGUCUUCGGAUCGUAAAACUCUGUUAUUAGGGAAGAACAAAUGCUUAAGUAACUAUGCACGUCUUGACGGUACCUAAUCAGAAAGCCACGGCUAACUACGUGCCAGCAGCCGCGGUAAUACGUAGGUGGCAAGCGUUAUCCGGAAUUAUUGGGCGUAAAGCGCGCGUAGGCUGUUUUUUAAGUCUGAUGUGAAAGCCCACGGCUCAACCGGGGAGGGUCAUUGGAAACUGGAAAACUUGAUGGCAGAAGAGGAAAGUGGAAUUCCAUGUGUAGCGGUGAAAUGCGCAGAGAUAUGGAGGAACACCAGUGGCGAAGGCGACUUUCUGGUCUGUAACUGACGCUGAUGUGCGAAAGCGUGGGGAUCAAACAGG